rnacentral:tRNA from 1 species
GAGGGUACAGCUCAGUGGUAGGGCAAGUACCUAGCAAGCACGAAGUCCUGGGUUCAAUCCCCAGUACCUCCA